AACGUAGGAGGCAAGCGUUAUCCGGAGUUACUGGGCGUAAAGCGCGCGCAGGUGGUGUACUAAGUGGGGCGUGAAAGCUCCCGGCUAAACCGGGAGAGGACGAACCAUACUGGUAGACUAGAGUGGUGCAGAGGACAAUGGAAUUCGGGGUGUAGCGGUGAAAUGUGCAGAGAUCCCGAGGAACACCAGAGGCGAAGGCGGUUGUCUGGGCACACACUGACACUGAGGCGCGACAGCGUGGGGAGCGAACGGG
rnacentral:rRNA from 1 species